AAGACCCCGUGGAGGACCGAACCGACUUAGGUUGAAAACUGAGCGGAUGACCUGUGGGUCGGAGUGAAAGGCUAAUCAAACUCAGAGAUAUCUGGUUCUCCCCGAAAUAUAUUUAGGUAUAGCGUCAUGCGUUCAAUGACGGUUGUAGAGCACUGUUUGGGCUAGGGGGCUUACCCGCUUACCGAACUCAGGCAAACUCCGAAUGCCGUCAUUCCAGAGCAUGGCAGUCAGAGUGCGGGGGAUAAGCUUCGUGCUCAAAAGGGAAACAGCCCAGACCGUCGGCUAAGGUCCCUAAUUUCAUGCUAAGUGGGAAACGAUGUCCGAUUGCAAAGACAACCAGGAUGUUGGCUUAGAAGCAGCCACCAUUCAAAGAGUGCGUAACAGCUCACUGGUCAAGUGGUCGGGCGCGGACAAUGUAACGGGGCUCAAGCAUGGAACCGAAGCCACGGACUCCUUCGGGAGUGGUAGGGGAGCGUUCCCAGGCCUGCGAAGCGGCGGCGUAAGCCUGCCGUGGAGGGCUGGGAAGUGAGAAUGCUGGCAUGAGUAACGAAAGACGAGUGAGAAACUCGUCCGCCGAAUGCCUAAGGGUUCCUGAGUAAAGCUAAUCUGCUCAGGGUUAGUCGGGACCUAAGCCGAGGCCGAAAGGCGUAGGCGAUGGACAACAGGUUGAUAUUCCUGUACCACGUAGCCACCGCUAUCACCGAUGGCGGGACGGGGUAGGCUAAGGAAUCCCUGGCGAUGGUCGUCCAGGGGUAACCGCGUAGGGCGGCCGGUAGGUAAAUCCGCCGGCCAUUAAGCCUGAGACGGGAUGCCGAGCUCCUUCACCGGAGCGAAGUUCCUGAAGCCAUGCCUCCUAGAAAAUCGUCUAGGGAGGUGGCGCGUGCCCGUACCAAAACCGACACAGGUAGGCAGGUAGAGAAUACCAAGGCGAUCGGAAGAACCCUCGUUAAGGAACUCGGCAAAAUGGUCCCGUAACUUCGGGAGAAGGGACGCCCCGGUAGAGUGAAGCCCUUGCGGGCUCAGCUCGAGGGGGCCGCAGUGAAACGGCCCAAGCGACUGUUUACCAAAAACACAGGUCUCUGCGAAGUCGAAAGACGACGUAUAGGGGCUGACGCCUGCCCGGUGCCGGAAGGUCACGAGGAGAGGUUAGCCUUCGGGCGAAGCUUUGAAUCCAAGCCCCGGUAAACGGCGGCGGUAACUAUAACCGUCCUAAGGUAGCGAAAUUCCUUGUCGGGUAAUUGAAUUGCCCGAGCCGGAAGUAAUUCCGGUGGACAAAACCGGCUAAUAACGGGGAAGCCCUCCUCGUAUGCGGCGCCUCAAGGACGUCGUAGCAGCGAAAGGGUAAUCCCGUGGGAAGUCGACACACUAUGUGUCUGACCCCGUAACGACUGAUCGUCCUUCGGGACGUGAGAUCGCAGUUACUGCUUCGGCAAAUCUACAACUGUGAUCAGACGCCGGCCCCUGGUUUACCAGGGUGAAGGGAUAGUCUGCGCCUCCGGAAACGGAGGAAUCACGCGAAGUUCCGACCUGCACGAAUGGCGUAACGACUUGGGCGCUGUCUCAACGAGGGAUCCGGUGAAAUUGUAGUCUCGGUGAAGAUGCCGAGUACCCGUGGUUGGACGGAAAGACCCCGUGCACCUUUACUACAGCUUGACGUUGGAGUCUGGGAUUUGUUGUCCAGGAUAGGUGGGAGGCUUUGAAGCGGGGACGCCAGUCCUCGUGGAGCCACCCUUGGGAUACCACCCUUCGAAUUCUGGGCUUCUAACCAGGGACCGUUAUCCGGCCUUGGAACAGCGUCAGGUGGGUAGUUUGACUGGGGCGGUCGCCUCCUAAACUGUAACGGAGGCGCGCAAAGGUUCCCUCAGCACGGUUGGAAAUCGUGCGUAGAGCGUAAUGGCAUAAGGGAGCUUGACUGCGAGACUGACAAGUCGAGCAGGUGCGAAAGCAGGCCAUAGUGAUCCGGCGGUAAAGCGUGGAAUUGCCGUCGCUCAACGGAUAAAAGGUACGCCGGGGAUAACAGGCUUAUCCUUCCCAAGAGUCCACAUCGACGGAAGGGUUUGGCACCUCAACAUCUGGGGUGGGCCGGCAGAGAUGCCGGUCAUGAAUCGGCUAAUAACGGUGGAGCCCACGCCUGUGCGUCCGAGUGACGCAGUAAGUUGGGUAAUACCGUGGGAAGUCUGUCGGAAGUGCAGCGUCAGAUCAUCGUCGGAACUUUGCUUGGCGGUGGAGCGAUGCGCUGCAAGACCAACGCGCUUCUCGAGAUCAAUCACUCGUCUCACCAACGAAGCUACGUCGAUUGGAAAUAUCGACAUCUGGCUGACCUGGUGCGAACACCACCGAAGGCUCGUAGGAGCAAUGGGGCGCGAAUCGCGUAUCGGUUCGUCACCCGGAGUCUCCCCGAGCUGACUCCGUUCUUCCGCUUGUUCUACGGAACCGGCCGGAAGCGGGUUCCCGAGUUGGAGCUCUCAGAGCUCACGCUCGCGGUGUGGUUCAUGGACGAUGGCUGUCGCUCGAGAAACGCGGUGUAUCUGAACACGCAGCAAUACGACAAGACGAGUCAGAGCAGGCUGCUUCGGCUCCUCCGCGAACAGUGGGGGAUCGAGGGAGCUCUGAACCGGGACAAGUCCUACUACCGAGUUCGUCUAUCGGUUGAGGGAACCCGGAAGCUCGCGAGACUUGUCGAGCCGUAUCUGCUGCCGGAGCUCAGCUACAAACUUCCGCAAGUGACCCCGUAACGACUGAGGCCGCAAGGCCAAGGUGGUGUUCUUGCUCCACAGGAGCAAAUCUAUGGACGCCACAACACGCCGACCCCUCGCCUUUGGUCAGGCAGGGUGGAGAUAUAGUCUGCGCCGCCGGUAACGGCGGAAUAUCGCGCGAUGUCGGCUCGUCGCAUCCUGGGGCUGGAGCAGGUCCCAAGGGUNNNNNNNNNNUGCGAAAGCAGGCCAUAGUGAUCCGGCGGUGAAGCGUGGAAUUGCCGUCGCUCAACGGAUAAAAGGUACGCCGGGGAUAACAGGCUUAUCCUUCCCAAGAGUCCACAUCGACGGAAGGGUUUGGCACCUCGAUGUCGGCUCGUCGCAUCCUGGGGCUGGAGCAGGUCCCAAGGGUCGGGCUGUUCGCCCGUUAAAGCGGUACGCGAGCUGGGUUCAGAACGUCGUGAGACAGUUCGGUCCCUAUCCACCAUGGGCGCUGGAAGCUUGAGAGGAGUCGCUCCUAGUACGAGAGGACCGGAGCGAACGGACCUCUGGUGUAUCAGUCGUCGUGCCAACGGCGCUGCUGAUUAGCCACGUCCGGAUGGGAUAACCGCUGAAAGCAUCUAAGCGGGAAGCCCACCUCGAGAUGAGGCUUCCCAUCCCCUAGAGGGAGUAAGAGCCGUGGGAGACCACCACGUUGAUAGGCGGGACGUGCAAGCGUGGCAACGCGUUAAGCGGACCCGUACUAAUUGCUCGAGGUCUUGAUUUU
rnacentral:rRNA from 1 species